CCAAAGAAUCAAGGUGGCCUAGGUUUCCGUGAUAUGAGGUUGUUUAACCAAGCUCUAUUAGCUCGUCAAGCUUGGCGAUUACUUGAUAGACCUGAGAGCCUAUGUGCGAGGCUACUUAAGGCGAGAUAUUACAGACAUGGCAAUCUAAUUGACACUGUUUUCACAGGCAACACGUCCCCUGUUUGGAGAGGUAUCGAGCAUGGACUAGAGCUGCUAAAGAAAGGCAUGAUAUGGAGAAUUGGCAAUGGCCAAAAAUCAGAGUUUGGAGGGAUCCCUGGAUACCGCGUGGGGGCUCCUGCAAAGUACUGGGAGAGCGUGGAACAUGUAGGUACAACCGGGUGGCUGAUUUCAUACUACCGGACGGAUCGUGGAAUGAAGAACGGCUGA
rnacentral:rRNA from 1 species